rnacentral:rRNA from 1 species
GACUUCCCAUCAUUUUAAAUGAGUAAGAUCCCUCAGAGACGAUGAGGUUAAUAGGUUUGAGGUGGAAGCGUGGCGACACGUGGAGCUGACAAAUACUAAUCGAUCGAGGACUUAACUAAAUU